AUGAAGGACGACUCGUUCGGCGAGUGUCUAACGAGCUCAAACGGGAAGAGAAGCCGCUGCUCCUCCGUCAGCUUUUUUCACUUCCCAUUUUCUCCUCCCAGCGAUGCCGUGACUCACCCUCUGACCCCUAACCUCUGAACCUUCACGAGGUUCUUGGAACAACAUGACGGCGAGCGGCCGUUAAGUCUGCAGACGGACACGACGCCUCCUGUGACGCCUCAUGUGACCAUCGGACCAAUGACGCGUGACGCAGCCGCUGGUUGACGUCGGUACUACAACCUGUGCCCUGUCCGCCGUCCAAGUCGCUUCAAAGUCACGUGAUGCUUCAAUCAGGAAGUAGGAAGUGAUGAAAGCCAGAUGCUAACUUGAGUGCAGAACAACGAGGAAGAUACAGCCAUGGCGACGCCGACAACGAGUAAAAUGAAGAAAUACGCUUGUAAGUUCCAAGCUGCAGCUGCGAUUGGACCUGGAUAGCCUCCGGGAAGAAGUAGUGGACUACCAAUUGCUUGGCAGUGAAGAUCUUCUUCAAAGAGCAAAGAUUGACCGGUUUUGGGCCAUGCUAGGGAGAGAUGGAAGAUUCCAGACUCUAGUGCAUUUGAUGAAAGCACUUUUGUGCGUGCCACACAGGAAUGCAUCAUCAGAGAGGGUGUUCAGCAUGGUUAGAAAAAUAGUGACAGAGAAUAGAAGAAGGAUGGACAAUUCAACCCUUAACUCACCAAUGAGUAGAUGAGUGCUAUGUGUGUGUGUAUGUGUAAAUAAAGGAACACUGAAAUUCAA